AUUGAACGCUGGCGGCAGGCUUAACACAUGCAAGUCGAACGAGUGGCGGACGGGUGAGUAAUGCUUGGGAAUCUAGCUUAUGGAGGGGGAUAACUACGGGAAACUGUAGCUAAUACCGCGUACCAUAGGAUGAGCCCAAGUGGGAUUAGUUAGUUGGUGAGGUAAAGGCUCACCAAGCCGACGAUCUCUAGCUGGUCUGAGAGGAUGACCAGCCAAACUGGGACUGAGACACGGCCCAGACUCCUAAGGGAGGAAGCAGUGGGGAAUAUUGCACAAUGGGGGCAACCCUGACGCAGCCAUGCCGCGUGAAGGAAGAAGGCCUUAGGGUUGGAAAGUACUUUCAGCGUGGAGGCGUUACCCGCAGAAGAAGCACCGGCUAACUCCGUGCCAGCAGCCGCGGUAAUAC
rnacentral:rRNA from 1 species